rnacentral:rRNA from 1 species
UACGAAGGGGGCUAGCGUUGUUCGGAAUUACUGGGCGUAAAGCGUGCGCAGGCGGCUUCUCAAGUCAGGGGUGAAAGCCCAGAGCUCAACUCUGGAAUUGCCUUGAGACUGAGUGGCUUGAGUACGAGAGAGGUGAGUGGAAUUCCCAGUGUAGAGGUGAAAUUCGUAGAUAUGGGAAGAACACCGGUGGCGAAGGCGGCUCACUGGCUCAGUUACUGACGCUCAGGCGCGAUAGCGUGGGGAUCAAACAGG